GUAAAGCUGAUGGUGCUGUUCACAUCAGAAAUUGCAGCACUGAAGAACAGAGUUCAUGCAGACUUUUACAACAUGCAUCAGCUACAGCAUUUGUUUGUUGAUGGUACCAGCUGUCAAAAACCAAGCAAGUGGCAGUGCUAGAGGUGCCACAAAAGUGCGAAGGAAGUGUCAGGCUGGAUGUCAAAAUGAACACCUUGGAGAACUGGAUGAUGGAACAGACGGUAAAAAUCAGCUAAACAUCAGAGAAAAUGGAGGAAGAGGUCAAAACUGUGAACAGGAACUAGAAGAAAGUGUAGCAGAAAAAGACUUGUCACAAACUUCGAGAGAUUUGGAGAAAAUGAUGUCAAAACACAUCUUCCUCAAGCCCAUGCUGAGUAUCUCUGAUUUGGUUAAUUUCUUGUUACUUUAUAUGGAUGUUGGUUGCUGUUCUGUUUAGUUCAAAAUACCUCGGAUCUGACCAGGUGUGGUGGCUCACACCUGUAAUCCCAGCAAUUUGGGAGACCAAGGCAGGUGGAUCAACUGAGGUCAGGAGUUCAAGAACAGCCUUACCAACAUGAUGAAACCAUCUCUUCUAAAAAUACAAAAAUUACCCAGGCGUGGUGGUGGGUGACUCUAAUCCCAGGUACUUGGGAGGCUGAAGCAGGAGAAUCCCUUGAACCUGGGAGGUGGAGGUUGCAGUGGGCCAAGAUCGUGCUACUGCACUCCAGCCCCAGCUGGGUGACAGAGUGAGACACUGUCUCAAAAACAAAACAAAAACAAAAACAAAACAACCUGUCAAUAUCACUGGGGAAAGAGUUUGUCAAACUCCAAGGCAAUUUUCAGUGAGAAUGACACUAAGUUUCAGACUUCAGGGCAAUAGGAAUGAUGUCAGACUUCAAUUACAUUCCCCAUGAAGAACCAGACAGCUAGAGUGUCGCUAUGUACUUUUAAAAGAUGACUGAGGAUGGAGACAAGUGAGUUGGCAGACAGUGGCAACCUCUGGAAGACAGAAUCUUCUCUGCUGGUUCCCAGGCUGCUGCUCCGAAAGUCCCAAAACACGCACCUGGCCUCUCCUGCAUUCCCACUGGCUGCACCUUGCUCCUGCCCAGAAUGAAAUCUGGCUCCUGGCCACCAAGCAAGAAGCCACCAGCUGACCAAAAUUUUUAAUUAAAAAAAAAAAAUUAGUUCAAGUGCCCACUGGGAGACAAAACUCUGAACCAAUGACCAAUAGUUUCUUCCACAGCAGAAUAUCAUUGCUGGUAACAAUGGGUGUGGUAUUUCUCAAAUCAUACCUAAUGAUUCUUCUCAAAAUUUAUACUUUGCUUUUCCUCAAACCAGCUGGUUUAGAUAUUUUAGUACAAUGCUUUCACCAGAACCUACAACAAUGGUUCCUAUUAACUGAGAACUGAAAUUGAUGUGGUCUCCUCAUGCCACAGGUCACAUGUUGUUUGGUGACUGAUUUUGACUCUCAGGAGGAAGUGGGGUUGCUGUUACACCACGGAGGCAAGAGGAGCAGUAAUAGAACACAGGAGAUCUCCUGAGGCACCUCAUCACUCUCAUGCCAGGGCACAAGUUGAUGGCAAUGUACUGUACCACCUACAGACAAACUACAGACAACCUACCUACAGGCAACCUCCUCAAGAACAAAAGCUUGCUUAACCCAACCAGGCAAAGAAUCCUGGCCAGCUGAGGGGUUGCGUGAAGGAAAGAGGGACCUGGAAUGGUUAGCGGAGAAGGAAAAUUGUAAAUGACAAUAAAGCUUCAUUACCAGUUACAAAAAUGAA
rnacentral:lncRNA from 1 species